UAGCCAUGGUGCAGGCAAUGAUUCAACAAAUCUUUGAAUCUUUCCCAAACUUGAUAGAACAUUUCAUUGCCCUUUUGGGAAAAUGUGAAAAUUUAUCGUUUUAGACU